rnacentral:rRNA from 1 species
GUGGGGAAUAUUGGACAAUGGGCGCAAGCCUGAUCCAGCAAUGCCGCGUGUGUGAAGAAGGCCUGCGGGUUGUAAAGCACUUUCAGUAGGGAGGAAAUCUUGGGAAUUAAUACUUUCCAAGCUUGACGUCACCUACAGAAGAAGCACCGGCUAACUCCGUGCCAGCAGCCGCGGUAAUACGGAGGGUGCGAGCGUUAAUCGGAAUUACUGGGCGUAAAGAGCGCGUAGGUGGCUUGGUAAGUCGGAUGUGAAAGCCCCGGGCUUAACCUGGGAAUGGCAUUCGAAACUGCCAGGCUAGAGUAUGGUAGAGGGAAGUGGAAUUCCGGGUGUAGCGGUGAAAUGCGUAGAUAUCCGGAGGAACACCAGUGGCGAAGGCGGCUUCCUGGACCAAUACUGACACUGAGGUGCGAAAGCGUGGGGAGCAAACAGG